CCUUCGGUUGAUCCCGCCGGACCCGACUGCUAUCGGAUUGAGAUUUAGCCAUGCGAGUCGAACGUCCUCCUGUUGCGGGGGGCGUGGCGUACGGCUCAGUAACACGUAGUCAACCUGCCCUGGAGAUACGGACAACCCCGGGAAACUGGGAUUAAUUCCGUGAUAGGUCAUCUCAUCUGGAAGGAGAGAUGGCUUAAAGGGGUGCGUGAGCUUCUUUCGUGCACUUGCUCCAGGAUGGGACUGCGACCGAUCAGGCUGUUGGCGGGGUAAUGGCCCACCAAACCAGUAACCGGUACGGGCUUUGAGAGAAGGAGCCCGGAGAUGGGCACUGAGACAAGGGCCCAGGCCCUAUGGGGCGCAGCAGGCGCGAAACCUCUGCAAUAGGCGAAAGCUUGACAGGGUUACUCUGAGUGAUUUCCGUUAAGGAGAUCUUUUGGCACCUCUAAAAAUGGUGCAGAAUAAGGGGUGGGCAAGUCUGGUGUCAGCCGCCGCGGUAAUACCAGCACCCCGAGUGGUCGGGACGUUUAUUGGGCCUAAAGCAUCCGUAGCCGGUUCUACAAGUCUUCCGUUAAAUCCACCUGCUUAACAGAUGGGCUGCGGAAGAUACUAUAGAGCUAGGAGGCGGGAGAGGCAAGCGGUACUCGAUGGGUAGGGGUAAAAUCCGUUGAUCCAUUGAAGACCACCAGUGGCGAAGGCGGCUUGCCAGAACGCGCUCGACGGUGAGGGAUGAAAGCUGGGGGAGCAAACCGGAUUAGAUACCCGGGUAGUCCCAGCUGUAAACGAUGCAGACUCGGUGAUGAGUUGGCUUAUUGCUAACUCAGUGCCGCAGGGAAGCCGUUAAGUUUGCCGCCUGGGGACUACGGUCGCAAGACUGAAACUUAAAGGAUUGGCGGGGGAGCCC
rnacentral:rRNA from 1 species